AGAGGAAGUAAAAGUCGUAACAAGGUUUCCGUAGGUGAACCUGCGGAAGGAUCAUUAACGAGAGAGGGGCCUCGCGUCCCGGGGGUUUCGGCCCCGUCUCUUCAUCCCGUGUCUAUCUACCUUUGUUGCUUUGGCGGGCCUCGGGUCCUCUCGACGUCGGUCUGGGGGCGACCCCGGUCCCGCGCGCGCCCGCCGAAGGACCCCUAAACUCUGUUUAUCAGUGUAGUCUGAGUGUCAAUUUAAUAUUUAAAACUUUCAACAACGGAUCUCUUGGUUCUGGCAUCGAUGAAGAACGCAGCGAAAUGCGAUAAGUAAUGUGAAUUGCAGAAUUCAGUGAAUCAUCGAAUCUUUGAACGCACAUUGCGCCCCUUGGUAUUCCGAGGGGCAUGCCUGUUCGAGCGUCAUUGCAACCCUCAAGCAUCGCUUGGUGUUGGGCCCUCGCCCCCCGGGCGUGCCCGAAAGUUAGUGGCGGUCCAGUCGGGACUUCAGGCGUAGUAAUCUAUCAUCCCGCCUAUGAAGAUCCCCUCUGCGGCUCGCCAGCCAACCUUCAGUGUCUUCAAUGGUUGACCUCGGAUCAGGUAGGGAUACCCGCUGAACUUAAGCAUAUCAAUAAGCGGAGGAAAAGAAACCAACAGGGAUUGCCUCAGUAACGGCGAGUGAAGCGGCAACAGCUCAAAUUUGAAAUCUGACCCCUUUGGGGCCCGAGUUGUAAUUUGCAGAGGACGUUUCG
rnacentral:rRNA from 1 species